UACGUGGAGGGGCAAGCGUUGUCCGGAUUUAUUGGGCGUAAAGAGCGUGUAGGCGGCCAUACAGGUCAGCUGUGAAAACUCGAGGCUCAACCUCGAGACGUCGGUUGAAACCGUAUGGCUAGAGUCCGGAAGAGGAGAGUGGAAUUCCCGGUGUAGCGGUGAAAUGCGCAGAUAUCAGGAGGAACACCGGUGGCGAAGGCGGGUCUCUGGGCCGUAACUGACGCUGAGGAGCGAAAGCGUGGGGAGCGAACAGG
rnacentral:rRNA from 1 species